UGGCGGACGGGUGAGUAACGCGUGGGUAACCUGCCUUACACAGGGGGAUAACACCUGGAAACAGGUGCUAAUACCGCAUAAGCGCACAGGGCCGCAUUGGCCCGGUGUGAAAAACUCCGGUGGUGUAAGAUGGACCCGCGUCUGAUUAGCUUGUUGGCGGGGUAGAGGCCCACCAAGGCGACGAUCAGUAGCCGGCCUGGAGAGGGUGGACGGCCACCAUUGGGACUGAGACACGGCCCAAACUCCUACGGGAGGCAGCAG
rnacentral:rRNA from 1 species